rnacentral:lncRNA from 10 species
AUUUAUGUAUCAUUUUGCAUAAAAUGAUAGUUGGUUCAUUUCCAGUAGUUUUUGCUAUAAUUAUGGAUAUCUACACCAAGACUUCAAUUUUGACUUGUUACUGUCAUUCACCAAUAACUCAUAAUAUAUGUAUAGAAAUACAUGGCUAAGACUGGGAGGGGUGGCUCAUGCCUGUCAUCCUGGUGCUUUGGGAGGCCAAGGGGGGAAAAUAGCUUGGAGGCCAAGAGUUCAAGGUCGGCCUGGUCAACAUAGCAAGAUACUGUCUCCACAAAAAAAUUUAAAAAUUUGCCAGGUAUAGUGGUGCACACUUUUCAUCCCAGUUACUCCAGAGACUGAGGCAGGAGUAUCGUUUGAACAUAGGAGUUCAAAGCUUCAGUGAGCUAUGAUUGUAACACUGCACACCUGCCCAGGCAACAGAAUGAAACACUGUCUCUAAAAAAAAAAAAAACAAAACAAAACAAAAAAAAAAACACAGAAAAAAGAAAUGUGACUAAACUGUCUGUCAAACAACUGGAAAAAAAAUAAAGUUUUAAACAACCAGAACAGAUAAUGAAUAAUAAAUCAACUGUACAAUGAAGUAUUUGUUAUACUUACAUAGUCUCCAUGAGCCAUUAAAAAUUCUUACAAAACCAACACCUCAAAACCUUAAAUCGCCAUAUACUAUAUGCUAAAAUUAUAGUAUAUAGUAUAUGUCUUCCAGAAAAUGCAAAAUGAAAUAGGUACCAGUUUUGCCUUUAGUGACAUGAGCCCUCCCACGUAACCAACCCCAAUGCCAUGGUGGGGUAUGUUUGAUAAAUGAUGAUCUCUUCAAGACCUCUCACUUCAUGCUUUUAUCUAUCUAGUUAGGGGGAAAAAUACACUUACUGUUAGGAAUUAUCUUAAAUAGUUAAUAAUUCCAAAUGCAAUGAAAUGAGCAUUUAUUAAGUCAACCAAAUGUAGGUAGUUGAUAUCAAUUCACUGAGUAAUAGAAAAAAGAUAUUAUUUAUACAGUACAAUAUUAUUGAUGUUUUCUUUAAUCACAUGAAGCAGGCAGAAAAACACAAUUACACAAAUAUAGUUAAAUCAAUCAACAGCUGCAUACUCAAUAGAUAUGGGUAGGAUAUUUCCUAUAAUAGUGGCUGUUGCCUAUCCAGCUUCCAUUCAUCUGUUCUUACUCUUUUGAGGCAAUCCUCCCAUCACUCAUGAUCCCAUGCAUCUCAGG